CAAAACAAAACCUGGUGCCUUAGAAAUUUAUGGCCCACGGGAGACAGGGAACCACACGAAACAGACGAAGACCACGAACCAGCCAAGAAGAAGAAUCCUUCCCUCCUCCUCCUCCUCCUCCUUUACGCCAUCCGAGAGAAUCGAAGCCGAAACCCUAACGUCUAUUUUUAUUCUUCCUCUCCUAUUGCUACCACUACUCCAAUGGCGGAAGCGAGGAGAGGAACCGAGGCGCCAGCGGCGCAAAGAUGAAGUGCAUGCACCACCCGUACGAGGACGGCCCGGGCGUCUGCGCCUCCUGCCUCCGCGAUCGCCUCCUCGCCCUAGUCGCUCCCCGAACGGAGUGCUCGCUCGGCCAUCCCUCCACGCCGCAGCCACGGCCUCUUCCCCUCCCCCUACCCCCCUCGGCCUGUCGCAGGGAACCUGACGCCUCCGCUCCCAACCACAAUCUCUCCUUCGGUGCUCCUGAGGUUGGGCCUUCCUCCUCCGUUAACCGGCGGUCCGGCUCCGGCAAGCUUUGUAUCCUGUCCAUCCUCUUCGGCCACCACCCAAAAUCCGAGGAACCGAAGCGAGAUACGAAGCGCCCCAAGUCCCCGAUAUCAAGUCAGUGGGUCCCAACGCUCACCCACGGCCGCCGGAAGAAGAAGAUAUCACGGCUGUUCCGGGGGCGGUAGUGGCUGGACGGCCGAGAAUGUACUGCCGCGGGGGGAACCAGGAGCUUUCGCCCAAACCCAUGGUGUCCGUGACGUAAAGCGGGAACAGGACGGAGUCACCAGGUGGGAUGUGGUGGCGCUCGACGCCCUACUUCCGGCGGGAGACACCACGAAGCACCACCACCGCCACCGGCGCAGACUUGGCCGGGUUCGCCAUGUGCCUCAACCCGCUGGUGCGGCCGAGCCCCGGCCGGCGAACAGAUCCGGGUAUUUCGGAGAUAUUCAGAGGGCGCUUUGCCAGCGCGACCACCGGCCACCUGCCGGCAGUGAAGUGGCGUUGUGCCCUGACCGCUCGCGUAACCUAGCGGACGUGCGUGGAUUUCGUCAACGCUUUGGCCCUAUUAUUGCGCGUUAUUCACCGUCGUGCCAUCUCUAAUUUUGGCAAAGAAAAAACAAACAUAACAACUUUCUGUUAUUAUUACGUCAAAUAGACCUCGUCGCUCUUUUGUUAAAGUCGGUGUAUAUGAUUGUAAUAUUUUAUUUCUCAAUGGAUUACAGUGCUAAUUGUUUCAUUUGUUGUAGUAAUUACAGUAUUAAUUUUGCAAAAAAAUAUGACAGUAUUAAUUGUGCCUCUGCUUGCGUUCAAUAUAUAUAUAUAUGGAAAUGUAUAGUGGAUUUCCUUUACCCUGUACAUUAACGAUGCUCCUAAUAAUUGACAGUUGUUUUGGUGUCUGAGAUCAAAAGCUAUUGUGAUAAUAAAGAUGGAAUAAAAGAUUUUUCGUCCCAAAAAUGUUUGAUUCGACCUAAGCAAGACAACAUUUUGCUGUGUAUUGAUUAGAAAUUAGAGUACGAGUCCACCUUGAUAAAUUUUCAGAAAUACUUUUUUAACGAGAUAAACAAAAAAAUGGAUGAGAAACUAAUAUUGCUAUUUUGUUUGGUAUAAAAUUUUAUCAAAUAAAUCAAAGAAAGGAGAUGAGGCAUUCAUUCUAUAAAGGAAAAGAGCAAGAAAAAUCAAGAUUUAGAGUAACAGUGCAUUCUGGAAACCAAGAUCAAAAGAAGCUUUCAUAAGCCACAAAAGAAGGGCCUCGCACCAAACACAACGAAGUUAGAACGAGAAAUCACAGAGAAAAGCGAAGCAGCAACAAGGACCACCCCGGAAAUGGCGCGCUUGCUUGAAGAUAGAGAGAGGUGGGAGGAUGAAAGAAAUACCUGAUUAAGGAUGAUGGAGGAAUGACGAACACAAAGCAUGAACCCCAAGUAGUAGCAUCCGCCUUUUUCUCCCUCGUUUCCCACUCCACCUACGUCGAGGCUUAUCGAUGGGAUCUUCGAUCUUGGUUUACCCCUCGUCCCGGCAUUGGUCGUCGUCGACCGUGGUCGACCGAGGGGAACAGAGGGCCCGGGUUUGGCGGUUAUCUUGGGAGUAGAGAGGUGCUUGCUUUG
rnacentral:lncRNA from 1 species